CCGGGUGCCUCCUCACGUGCGGGACUGGCGAGCCCGCAGGUCAGUGCACAGAUCCUGCAGCCGAGGGUGGGCUCUAGGCCUUCUGGCCGCAGCACCUCAGUUGCCCCACGGUCAUGGUAGGCCCCAUAAUGCCGCCCCUUCAGAUGCACUCCUGCUCACUUGCACACCUCUCACGUCUGCUCGGUGGAAUGAGUCCCGCAGAGCCACAAGGCGGCCCCGUGUUGCUCCACAGGAACACCGUUCCCUUGGUCUGGCCUGUAGAGAGGAGGAGAGGCUGUGGCCCUGAAGGAGGCCUGGCUGUCUAGGGUCAGGCACAGAGCCUGGUCACUGAAGUGGCAGCGUGCUACAUGGUGGCCUUGCAGGGCGAGGGAUGGCACUCCGGAGGCCCUGACGCUCUCGAUCCCCAGCCCUGCAGUUACCAGCAGGGGUCAUCCAGCAGGAGAGUCACCCGGGGGUCCUCUCCUCACGUGAGGGCUCCCCACGGGUGGGGAGAGACUGUAGCCAAUGGACAGGGAACCCUGCUGAGGAGAAAACAGAAAGGAAUGGGGCCUCUCUGCUGGGUGGGGUCAGGUUAGCACACAACGAGUGAUGACGGCGUGCCUUCGUUCUGACCUGAUGGGAUGCCAGGAGGGCCACUCCCAUCCUGGGCAGGUGAGUGUCCUCCGUGGGCUGCUCUCUCCACCCAACACGUGAACUGUCCAACUAUCCAGCCAUCUUCAACCUUCCGCAUACUUCACCCCACCCAUCUGUCCACCACUCCUCCAAGUCUCCUGACCCCCGAACCCCCUUGGUCCACUCUUGUGGUAUCUGCUUGACCUCCCCAUGCUCAUCCCUCCUGAAGUCACAUCCCUCUCUGAGCCAUCCAGGACUGGGCGCGCGUGGGUGUGCGGAU
rnacentral:lncRNA from 1 species